AUUGAACGCUGGCGGCAGGCCUAACACAUGCAAGUCGAGCGAGCGGCGGACGGGUGCGUACUGUAUGGGGACUGCCCGAUAGAGGGGGAUAACUAAUGGAAACGGUAGCUAAUAACGCAUACUAUCGGAUAACCCAUAUGGGAUUAGCUAGUAGGGGAGGUAAUGGCCCACCUAGGCGACGAUCCACAGCUGGUCUGAGAGGUUGAUCUGCCACACUGGGACUGAGACACGGCCCAGACUCCUACGGAGGCAGCAGUGGGUAAUAUUGCACAAUGGGCGCAAGCCUGAUGGAGCCAGGCCGCGUGUAUGAAUAAGGCCCUAGGGUUGUAAAGUACUUUCAGUAGGGAGGCGUUACCGACAGAAGAAGCACCGGCUAACUCCGUGCCAGCAGCCGCGGUAAUUC
rnacentral:rRNA from 1 species